rnacentral:rRNA from 1 species
CGCCGCGUGAGGGAUGACGGCCUUCGGGUUGUAAACCUCUUUCAGCAGGGAAGAAGCGAGAGUGACGGUACCUGCAGAAGAAGCGCCGGCUAACUACGUGCCAGCAGCCGCGGUAAUACGUAGGGCGCAAGCGUUGUCCGGAAUUAUUGGGCGUAAAGAGCUCGUAGGCGGCUUGUCGCGUCGGUUGUGAAAGCCCGGGGCUUAACCCCGGGUCUGCAGUCGAUACGGGCAGGCUAGAGUUCGGUAGGGGAGAUCGGAAUUCCUGGUGUAGCGGUGAAAUGCGCAGAUAUCAGGAGGAACACCGGUGGCGAAGGCGGAUCUCUGGGCCGAUACUGACGCUGAGGAGCGAAAGCGUGGGGAGCGAACAGGAUUAGAUACCCUGGUAGUCCAAGGG